rnacentral:rRNA from 1 species
CCAACAGGGAUUCCCUCAGUAAGGGCGACUGAAAUGGGAAGAGCCCAGCGCAUAAGCUUGCUUUGCCCUUCACCGGGCGCGAGCGGUGUUGCGUUUCGGAGGGUCCGGCACGCUGCCCCACGACGCCUAAGUCAUGCUUGAAAGCGGCCACUACCCCUGGAGGGUGAAAGGCCCGUCUGGCGGAGCCCGUGAGGGCACAAGUGGGGUGGUCGGAAAGGACCUUUCCGUAGAGUCGGGUUGCUUGAGAGUGCAGCCCAAAGCAGGUGGUAAACUCCAUCUAAGGCUAAAUAUGACCACGAGA